GAUCCUGGCUCAGGACGAACGCUGGCGGCGUGCCUAAUACAUGCAAGUCGAGCGAAUCGAUAGAAGCUUGCUUCUAUUGGUUAGCGGCGGACGGGUGAGUAACACGUGGGCAACCUGCCUGUAAGACUGGGAUAACUUCGGGAAACCGGAGCUAAUACCGGAUAAUCCUUUUCCUCACAUGAGGAAAAGCUGAAAGUCGGCAUCUAGCUGACACUUACAGAUGGGCCCGCGGCGCAUUAGCUAGUUGGUGAGGUAACGGCUCACCAAGGCGACGAUGCGUAGCCGACCUGAGAGGGUGAUCGGCCACACUGGGACUGAGACACGGCCCAGACUCCUACGGGAGGCAGCAGUAGGGAAUCUUCCACAAUGGACGAAAGUCUGAUGGAGCAACGCCGCGUGAGCGAAGAAGGCCUUCGGGUCGUAAAGCUCUGUUGUUAGGGAAGAACAAGUAUCGGAGUAACUGCCGGUACCUUGACGGUACCUAACCAGAAAGCCACGGCUAACUACGUGCCAGCAGCCGCGGUAAUACGUAGGUGGCAAGCGUUGUCCGGAAUUAUUGGGCGUAAAGCGCGCGCAGGCGGUCCUUUAAGUCUGAUGUGAAAGCCCACGGCUCAACCGUGGAGGGUCAUUGGAAACUGGGGGACUUGAGUGCAGAGGAGGAAAGCGGAAUUCCACGUGUAGCGGUGAAAUGCGUAGAGAUGUGGAGGAACACCAGUGGCGAAGGCGGCUUUCUGGUCUGUAACUGACGCUGAGGCGCGAAAGCGUGGGGAGCAAACAGGAUUAGAUACCCUGGUAGUCCACGCCGUAAACG
rnacentral:rRNA from 1 species